GCGUCGAUAUCUCAGUGGCAGAUUAAUGGGGCGUUGACCCAUGCGGCCUAGGUUCGAGUCCCGGUCGAUGCA